CAGAUGUACAGUGCCUCUAUUUUUGUGAAUGUUUUGCUUGUUUUGUAAGUUUGUUUUGAAAUACCUGCUCUCUUGGCAUUCCUAGAGCCACUUCUGUAUUCCCAACAGGAAGAACUGUUAACUAACCUGCUGCUGAACAUGUAUUGAUUUCCCCUGUAGUAUCAAAUCAGUCCUCUGAGAAUUGAGUUUACAGUCCCUUUACCUGCAGUUUCUUGUUAGCCCCAUACUGACAAGCAAUUUUUUCCAAGGUUUUUAACCUUACUACUUUUUAUUGUGCAGUUACAACAAAGACCUUUUAGACAAGGUGAUGGAAAUGGCUGAUGGGAUUGAAGUGGAAGACCUGCCACAAUUUACGACCAGAAGUGAGUUAAUGAAAAAGCAUCAAAGCUAAGACAGAAGAUCCAUCACAUUUUCAUUAUCAGGUACAGGCUAGAAAGGAAGAAUGUGACGUUGACCACAGAAGCUCUCCUACAACUCCUCGUAUUACCAACAUGUAGGGAAGAGGCAGUUGAAAUGAAAGUGGCAUUUUAAAAGGUCUCAUUCUUCCAGUAGCUAUCAUUGUAAAAGUAUGCAUGGAUAUUUAUGUAUUUAUAAAUCAUGCCUUUUUAUUUUGUUUCUGAAUAUCAAACUUUUUGUUAAAAUGCAUAUUUUUUUAUGUUGAUGUAAUAAUGGCAGGUAAUGGAUUUUACACUUUGGAUUUCUCAACAAUGUACCUUUAAGCGUGA